rnacentral:rRNA from 1 species
UACGUAGGCAGCAAGCGUUGUCCGGAAUUAUUGGGCGUAAAGAGCUCGUAGGCGGUGUGUCGCGUCGACCGUGAAAACCUGCAGCUUAACUGUGGGCGUGCGGUCGAUACGGGCAUCACUGGAGUUCGGCAGGGGAGACUGGAAUUCCUGGUGUAGCGGUGAAAUGCGCAGAUAUCAGGAGGAACACCGGUGGCGAAGGCGGGUCUCUGGGCCGAUACUGACGCUGAGGAGCGAAAGCGUGGGGAGCGAACAGG